rnacentral:sRNA from 1 species
CACUAAGACAGGAGAUUGGAAAAGCAAAUGCUUUUACACAGCAGACACAGAGUGUGACCUCACCGACGAGAUUGUGAAGGAUGUGAAGCAGACGUACUUGGCACGGGUCUUCUCCUACCCGGCAGGGAAUGUGGGGAGCACCGGUUCUGCUGGGGAGCCUCUGUAUGAGAACUCCCCAGAGUUCACACCUUACCUGGAGACAAACCUUGGACAGCCAACAAUUCAGAGUUUUGAACAAGUGGGAACAAAAGUGAAUGUGACCGUACAAGAUGAACGGACUUUAGUCAGAAGGAACAACACUUUCCUAAGCCUCCGGGAUGUUUUUGGCAAGGACUUAAUUUAUACACUUUAUUAUUGGAAAUCUUCAAGUUCGGGAAAGGUGAGCAUUUUUUCAUUUGUUUUUAUGACCUGUUUUAAAUUGUGAAUACUUGGGUUUUACAGCCUAUUUCUUCCCCAAUUCAAAAAUAGCAGA